GCUGCUGCUGCUCUGCAGGAGCCAGGCACUGGGGGCUGCCCCAUCCCAGGGCAAGGCUGGCUCAUGGAAUCAUGAUCUUCCAUGCUGCAAAAGGGUCCUGGAAAUGCUGAGUCCAUGCAACUCAUGCUGCUGUGCUGUGGGAUGUGGGUGCUUUGCUGUAGGUUCUUGAAGUACUGAGCCAGCUGAAACAUUUCUGACAUAACACCAAAACAUCAGGAAACCUGGAGAAGAGAGCAUUCCAAAUAGUGGUGAUGGAGGAUCUCCUCUGGCAGGGUGUUUCUGCCUAAAGAGGGGGAUGCUGCAUUCCUCAGAGAGUGUUUUCCCAGCACAGAGUUAAAAGGAGGCUCUGCAGGGAAUCCCUGUGUUCACCCACGCUGGUUUUGCUGCCUGUCAUCUCAUUACACAUUCCUUUACAGGUUCCUCAGUGCUCCCUGGUGUGGCAGGCAGGCAGCACAGAGCAUGUGAGGUACCUGUUCCUCAGGGGGCCCAGCAGGACGUGCUCUCCCUUGUGCUUUCACAGCAUCUCAGCGCCCUGGGAUGGGCAGUGCUGUUCAGUGCCAGGGUUUGGGAACAGCAUCAUCAGCUGUUGCCUGUGUGAUGAGAACAGAAUCCCCCUGGCUGCUCCCUGCUCCAUCUCUGGCUCUGAGCAGUGCUGGAGGAAGGAUGGCAGUGCUUCACAGGGGCAGUGGGCACUGCUGCUCCUGGCACACACAGUGAGAGUGUCCAGCCCUGCACAGAGCACCUGCACUUCUGUGUCCUUGUGAGAGUGAGGAGGAAUAACAUGGGGAAUCCUGGUGCUUGGAUUCCUGCUGUAGCUGACGUUUCCUCUGCAGCUGUGGCAGGUGACGGAAAUGCCUCUGAUGGCAAUAGAAAUGUUCCUGAUGAAGGGGAGAAGGCAGCUGCAGCUCCUGUGUCUGUGCCAAGAUGAAAAUCUUCAUCGUUGAGUGGUUUGCAAAGGCACAACUGCAGUCACCUCAAAUCAUGCUGUUGCUGAGUGAGCACCAGCUCUCCAUUCCAGCAGUAUCAGAGAGAAGCAAUCUGGCUGCAUGAGUGAACUCACUCAUCCCCAGCAACAAACAGGAGGCACCUGGGCAGGGUCUCUGACUCCAACAGUCUUUGCUGGGGGAAUAAAAGGCAGAAAACUUGUGUGAGAUAUAUACAAAGGCCAAAAUGUGGGUGGGCAUGUAAGACUCUCAAUAUUCUGCUCAAAACCAGCCCUACCAGCAGUCAUGUGUGGCACAUUUAAUAACAGACCCUCAGAUCAAUUCUCAUGCUGUCUGAUGAAGGUCCAAGCUGAAGAACAAAACCUGGUCUGUCCUUUGUUUGAAGGACAGCAAAAAAGGGUCUCCUCCAUUCCUCUUCCAUGUUCUGUGCAGACAGAAAAAAAAGGAAAAAGCAGUAAAUUAGAAAAUGCACAGAGCACUCUUGAGUCUGGAUAGUGCAGAGUAUUGCUGUUUCUGGGGUUUCAAGGACUCUUGUCAUAAGCUGUUCGUUCCUCAGUGUUACCUCUCUCUUAGAUGCUUCUUGAGAUGCAUUGAUGCCUAAGCUCAGAAACCCCUUUGAUCUGUGCUUACUUUGCUGAGCAUUUACCAACUUAAAAGUGCCCAUGUUAAACUUUAAUAUUCCCAUGUCUGGCACUGGAUGUUCCAACUACUGCUGCUUUUUUGGGAUGUCUCAGAAGAUACCAGUGUGUGUAGCUGGGUCAAGUAGCUGAUGGGUGAAAUGAGCAAUGACUGGCUGUGUGUAAUAGUCUGCAUCUGUUACUGAAAUUCAGAAGCUUUCCUGCCUUUUUGUAUUUUGUAAGGCAUGCAGUGUCAUAGGCGUUGUGUGUUCUUUUCUCUUGCUGAUGUGAAUGUGCACCACAGGCAGCAGCACUUAGUGUAUAAAAUAUCUCAGCUUCAUAGUCACAUUUGGCAAGUAGAUUUAAAAAAUAAAAAGGGGAAGGGAAUUUCUGCAUUUAACAACAACUCCAUUGCUAUUUGUUGUAUUCUUCAGAAGGCAUUGCCAGAAUUUCACUCUUUUUCUUGGGGCAUACUGUGAAAUAAAAAGAUGAGGGAGACUCUACAGGAGAGACGCAGCCAUGGAGUUACCAAAGAAAUUGAUAACUCUCAUGUGCCACAUCUCCAAAUGCUCUCCUGAUAAA